CUUCCUUUCUCUUUUCUUUCACUUUUCUUUCUUUCUCUCCCUCUCUCCUCACAUGCACGCACUUCUCUCCCUCCCACUUCUUCUCUCUCUUCCUUUUCUCCUUCUUUUUCUCUUUUCCCCUUUUCUCUCCCCCUGUUUCACGGCAGCAGCAGCCCCCACCAUUUCUUUUCUCUUCUUCCUCCCUUCUCCCUUGUCACGCACGCACAGCAGCUCAUUUCUUUUCCUUUCCUUUCCUCCUUCCUCUCUUGUCUUGCACUCACGCACACACACGGAUCCGAGUGUGAGAGAUGAGCCGAAUGGUGAAGGAGCACCGGUGAAUCCAGACUGAGGGGAUUCUCUGCAAAAACUUCUGGGAUCAUGUUCGGAUUGGAGACUUUAAUUGGUUCUCCAAUGUAGAGUCCAAGUGACUAGAGUCCAAGGAGUGUUCGAGUUGGAGUCUAAUGCAGCCAAGAUGAUGUUUCUUUGGCUGCAGGUACUUCGGUAUAGUCGAUGGGUCGGUAGCAGUGUGCUUGGGAUGUUAUGACUAAAGUUCGCCGCGACAGUUGUAAUGGUCGGACCACGGGUUGUCCACUAUUUUAUAGGUUUGGUAUGGCUUGUGACGUUUGUGUCACUUAUUCUUUGUUAAGCCAUUAUUGUUGUAGUGUUAAUAAGACUCAAACAGAUAGAUAUUAAAUGGCUCUUUGUUGUAAUUAACUUGUGAUAGAUGUAUAAGUUGUAAUUUCCGCUAUUCAGAUUUAUGUUUUCCGCUGCA